rnacentral:lncRNA from 1 species
AUCACGUUUAAAUUUUCAUUUUUCGUUAAUCCGUUGAUGAGAUAUUGUUCUUCAAAGUUGAGGGAGGUAUUUGUGUGUAAAGUAAAUAUUGUGUUGUAUCUCGUCAGUAGAUACCGCAUUUAUUACGAUUUUUAUGCCCCAGGGCAAAAGGUAUUACAUUUUAAAAUCAAUUCAAGUAGGCGCAGUAAGGUUGAAUUGUGCCCCUAAAUGUAUUGUAGAAUAUCCAUUUGCUUGGGUGUCCGCCGUUCGCCCCACGGAAGGUGAUUUCGCCACUGGUCAUAAUAAUACUUAUCGUUUAUAAAGACCAGAAGUUAAAAGUAAUAAAUUCCUUAUCGUUUGAACCCAAGGUAUAAUAGUGAUAAUCAUUGUACCUACUCGCUUCCGCUACAAUAACUUAUUGUCAUAAUGUCAUAUUUUAAGUAAUUGUACCAUUAGUGUCACAUGCGCAAUACUCGCGUGUAAUCCCCUCGACCCCAUUAAAUACCUAUUAAGUAUGGAGUACGGACAAUUUGUGACAAGUGACAACGGACACACAACAAUACGAUGAUGUCUGAUUAGACUGGUUUGCGAUUAGGUAUUAACAGAUACGAGCGUCUAGAGAGUAGAGACCAUACUAUUAUCUAUGUUAUAACAUCAAAUAUUUUUCCAAUUAUUUCCCGUGUGAUAAGUUUGCAUGGCAUAAUAUCUAUUAUCUAUGCUAGAGACUGAUAGUGCCUACUAUCUUAUAUUGUGCUCUCUGCAAUAAUUGCAGCUGACAUCGUGGUUCCGUGGUUAUAUGAUAUGGAAGUAUACCUUAUACUGGGUUAACGUUAAUCACAUAAAAAUACGUUAGUUAUUAAAUAAACGGUUAAGGUUAUAAGAUAACUCACUACAUUCAUAACAAACUGAAUCCGUGAGUCCGUGACUCAUGGUCGUAGCCCGUAGGUAUUUUAUUUUUUAAUAUACCUAAUACCCUAUUGGUUCUUCUAUAAAGUAUAAUUAUUGUCUUUAUUAUUAUUUACCACAUAUUGUAUUUUACGUAUUUUGUUUAAUAAUUUAAUACUUUAAUCAAACAUAUAUGUACCUGAAUUGAUUUAUGACACGUGGAUUGGAUGCUUGGCGAUUACAUUUGUACAAUUUAUGGGUAAGUACUAAGUUUCACUAGUUGGUAGUUGCAAAAAUUAAAAUAAAUAAUACAAUAUGUUAUUAACUUAAGACAUUUUGAUUUCAGUUUAAUCAUUUAUACAUAAUAUACUAUUUUUGUUCAAAUGUAUACCUAACCAAGGAACACUGGUACUUACUGGAUAAUACAUGACUUGUUAUGCAAUCAAAUGGCAUAUGACAACACAGAAAUAUUGCAACCAACUAUGAUGUUCCUGCGACCUGCCAGUUAUUGUAGAGUUUGUUUUGAUGACGGAUGAUUUGAAGGAUAUAGUUGAAUUUGAUAUUAAUUCAUUGGCAUGAAUUUGUGGUUUUAAACUAAAAUCAGAAGAUUGAAAUAUUAUGCUACUUUAAAUUUAAAUAUGAUUUGAAACUACCUAUCACAUACAAUUCAGAAGAUCCUGUAUGUUUAAUUACAAUUGAAAAUGGCAACAAAAUAAAAAUAAUGUUUCACAUAUUGGAUUUAAAUAUUUCAACAGACUACAAAACAAAUUAAAUAAUCAAGAUAAUUGUAAAGAAGUGGAAAAAAUCUAGCUGGACUAAAAACUUAUCACCAAUGAUGUGUAUUGAAAAAAAAAAAAAUGUUGCUAAUGUUAAUGUUUUGUAAAUUGUAUAAUAUUUUAUAAUUAAUUUAAAUGAGGUGACAACAUCAAUCAUUACAACUCAAAAGAUAAAAUAAUGUAUGUUGUGUUUAAUACACACAUAGUAUGUAGAUUGUGUAAAUCAAAUAAUGAACUUAAAAAAAAAUAGGUAUGUGAUUAAUAAUUAUAUUUCA